AGCAGCCGCGGUAAUUCCAGCUCCAAUAGCGUAUAUUAAAGUUGUUGCAGUUAAAAGCUCGUAGUUGAAUUUCGGGAUCAAUAUGUUGGUCGUGCCUUGGUACGUACUGGCAUUAUCGAUUCCUACCUUCUGAAGAACCUCGAUGUCAUUAAUUUGGUGUCUUGGGGAAUCAGGACUGUUACUUUGAAAAAUUAGAGUGUUUAAAGCAGGCUCGCGCUUGAAUACAUUAGCAUGGAAUAAUGAAAUAGGACGUUUGAUUCUAUUUUGUGGUUUCUAGGAUCGACGUAAUGAUUAAUAGGGAUAGUUGGGGGCAUUAGUAUUCAAUUGUCAGAGGUGAAAUUCUUGGGAUUUUUAUUGAAGACUAACUACUGCGAAAAGCAUUUUGCCAAGGAUGUUUCAUUAAUC
rnacentral:rRNA from 1 species